rnacentral:rRNA from 1 species
UUAGAGGUUCGAAGGCGAUCAGAUACCGCCCUAGUUCUAACCAUAAACGAUGCCAGCCAGCGAUCCGCCGAAGUUCCUCCGAUGACUCGGCGGGCAGCUUCCGGGAAACCAAAGCUUUUGGGUUCCGGGGGAAGUAUGGUUGCAAAGCUGAAACUUAAAGGAAUUGACGGAAGGGCACCACCAGGAGUGGAGCCUGCGGCUUAAUUUGACUCAACACGGGAAACCUCACCAGGCCCGGACACCGGAAGGAUUGACAGAUUGAGAGCUCUUUCUUGAUUCGGUGGGUGGUGGUGCAUGGCCGUUCUUAGUUGGUGGAGCGAUUUGUCUGGUUAAUUCCGGUAACGAACGAGACUCUAGCCUGCUAAAUAGACGAUUUCCGGUAUCCACAAUAGUGCUACCGGCGAAAUCAAUAUCUUCUUAGAGGGACAGGCGGCUUUCAGCCGCACGAAACUGAGCAAUAACAGGUCUGUGAUGCCCUUAGAUGUCCUGGGCCGCACGCGCGCUACACUGAAGGAAUCAGCGUGUACACCCUGGCCGAAAGGCUCGGGCAACCCGUUGAACCUCCUUCGUGCUAGGGAUUGGGGCUUGCAAUUGUUCCCCAUGAACGAGGAAUUCCCAGUAAGCGCGAGUCAUAAGCUCGCGUUGAUUACGUCCCUGCCCUUUGUACACACCGCCCGUCGCUACUACCGAUUGAAUGAUUUAGUGAGGUCUUCGGACUGGUGCGCGGUGGCCGCCUGCGCGGCCGUCGAUGCCACCGGGAAGAUGACCGAACUUGAUCAUUUAGAGGAAGUAAAAGUCGUA